CAUAGAGUGUAAAGGCAUAAGGGAGCUUGACUGCGAGACCUACAAGUCGAGCAGGGUCGAAAGACGGACUUAGUGAUCCGGUGGUUCCGCAUGGAAGGGCCAUCGCUCAACGGAUAAAAGCUACCCCGGGGAUAACAGGCUUAUCUCCCCCAAGAGUUCACAUCGACGGGGAGGUUUGGCACCUCGAUGUCGGCUCAUCGCAUCCUGGGGCUGUAGUCGGUCCCAAGGGUUGGGCUGUUCGCCCAUUAAAGCGGUACGCGAGCUGGGUUCAGAACGUCGUGAGACAGUUCGGUCCCUAUCCGUCGUGGGCGUAGGAAAUUUGAGAGGAGCUGUCCUUAGUACGAGAGGACCGGGAUGGACAUACCUCUGGUGUACCAGUUGUCGUGCCAACGGCAUAGCUGGGUAGCUAUGUGUGGACGGGAUAAGUGCUGAAAGCAUCUAAGCAUGAAGCCCCCCUCAAGAUGAGAUUUCCCAACUUCGGUUAUAAGAUCCCUCAAAGAUGAUGAGGUUAAUAGGUUCGAGGUGGAAGCAUGGUGACAUGUGGAGCUGACGAAUACUAAUCGAUCGAAGACUUAAUCAA
rnacentral:rRNA from 1 species